UACGGGGGGGGCAAGCGUUGUUCGGAAUUACUGGGCGUAAAGGGUUUGUAGGUGGCCAACUAAGUCAGACGUGAAAUCCCUCAGCUUAACUGGGGAACUGCGUCUGAGACUGGAUGGCUUGAGUGCAGGAGAGGAACGCGGAAUUCCAGGUGUAGCGGUGAAAUGCGUAGAUAUCUGGAGGAACACCGGUGGCGAAGGCGGCGUUCUGGACUGCAACUGACACUGAAAAACGAAAGCCAGGGGAGCAAACGGG
rnacentral:rRNA from 1 species